rnacentral:lncRNA from 1 species
CAGCUGUUCAGUUUCCAUGGCCUGGCUGUGCCCGGAGCCAGCCCUGUGUGUGGCUUCCUCAUCCCUUUGCUGGCUCCAUGAGGGUGAGGGCAGGAGCUUUGCCGUUCAGAGAUGACAACCAUGCCCACCCUGGCCUAUGCGGGAGUCUGCUGGAGACUGUGGGCUGAAAAAUCCACUCAGCCACUGGAAACACCAGAGCACCUCAUGAACAUUUACAGCAGCACAUCCAAGCAUGAAAGCAAAGAGCACAAGAAGCAGAAGCCUUGGCAAACUGAGGACACCCAGCCUGGGAGAGAGAGAAAAUUUCACAGUUUGAAAACCCAGAGCCAACAGAAAAUUAGGAGUAAGGCAAAGGGCAGGGGCAAUGAAAGAGCUCCUGUAUUCUUCUGGGAGCCUCCCUCCUUUCCUUGCCCGUCUCUUUACUGCUGCUGAACUGCGCUCGCAGUUGCUGCCAAAGGACCAGGACACAGCUUGGUCACAAAGGUGGAGAAAACCCCC